rnacentral:rRNA from 1 species
AGAGUUUGAUCCUGGCUCAGGACGAACGCUGGCGGCGUGCCUAACACAUGCAAGUCGAGCGGGGAGACCCUUCGGGGUUUUCUAGCGGCGGACGGGUGAGUAAAGCGGCGGACGGGUGAGUAACGCGUGAGCAACCUUUCCUUCACAGGGGGAUAACGCAGCGAAAGCUGUGCUAAUACCGCAUAAGACCACGGAGCCACAUGGUUUUGAGGUCAAAGGAGCAAUCCAGUGAGGGGUGGGCUCGCGUCUGAUUAGCUAGUUGGUGAGGUAACGGCCCACCAAGGCAACGAUCAGUAGCCGACCUGAGAGGGUGAUCGGCCACACUGGGACUGAGACACGGCCCAGACUCCUACGGGAGGCAGCAGUGGGGAAUAUUGGGCAAUGGGCGAAAGCCUGACCCAGCAACGCCGCGUGAGGGAAGAAGGUUUUCGGAUCGUAAACCUCUGUCCUUGGUGAAGAGCAGAAGACGGUAGCCAAGGAGGAAGCCCCGGCUAACUACGUGCCAGCAGCCGCGGUAAUACGUAGGGGGCAAGCGUUGUCCGGAAUGAUUGGGCGUAAAGGGCGCGUAGGCGGCCUGUUAAGUCUGGAGUGAAAGUCCUGCUUUUAAGGUGGGAAUUGCUUUGGAAACUGGCGGGCUGGAGUGCAGGAGAGGUUAGUGGAAUUCCCGGUGUAGCGGUGAAAUGCGUAGAGAUCGGGAGGAACACCAGUGGCGAAGGCGACUAACUGGACUGUAACUGACGCUGAAGCGCGAAAGUGUGGGGAGCAAACAGGAUUAGAUACCCUGGUAGUCCACACGGUAAACGAUGAAUGCUAGGUGUAGGGGGUAUCGACCCCUUCUGUGCCGCAGUUAACACAAUAAGCACUCCACCUGGGGAGUACGAUCGCAAGGUUGAAACUCAAAGGAAUUGACGGGGGCCCGCACAAGCGGAGGAACAUGUGGUUUAAUUCGAUGAUACGCGAGGAAACCUUACCUGGGCUUAAAUGUAGGCUGCAUUCGGCUGAAAGGCUGAUUCCCUUCGGGGCUGCUUACAAGGUGCUGCAUGGUUGUCGUCAGCUCGUGCCGUGAGGUGUCGGGUUAAGUCCCAUAACGAGCGCAACCCUUAUCGUUAGUUGCCAGCGGGUUAAGCCGGGGACUCUAGCGAGACUGCCACCGUAAGGUGUGAGGAAGGGGGGGAUGACGUCAAAUCAGCACGGCCCUUACGUCCGGGGCGACACACGUGUUACAAUGGUAGGUACAGAGGGCAGCUACCCAGCAAUGGGAUGCGAAUCUCGAAAGCCUAUCUCAGUUCGGAUCGGAGUCUGCAACUCGACUCCGUGAAGUUGGAAAUCGCUAGUAAUCGCGGAUCAGCAUGCCGCGGUGAGUACGUUCCCGGGCCUUGUACACACCGCCCGUCAAGCCAUGGAAGCUGGGGGUGCCUGAAGUUCGUGACCGCAAGGAGCGACCUAGGGCAAAACUGGUAACUGGGGCUAAGUCGUAACAAGGUAACC